rnacentral:rRNA from 1 species
CGACUAAGCCAUGCGAGUCGAAUGUAGCAAUACAUGGCGAACUGCUCAGUAACACGUGGACAACCUGCCCUUAGGUUGGGUAUAAACCCGGGAAACUGGGUAUAAUACCCGAUAGGUCUCGAUUGCUGGAAUGCAUCGAGAUUUAAAGCUCCGGCGCCUAAGGAUGGGUCUGCGGCCUAUCAGGUAGUAGUGGGUGUAGCGUACCUACUAGCCUACGACGGGUACGGGUUGUGAGAGCAAGAGCCCGGAGAUGGAUUCUGAGACACGAAUCCAGGCCCUACGGGGUGCAGCAGGCGCGAAAACUUUACAAUGCUGGCAACAGCGAUAAGGGAACCUCGAGUGCCAGGUUACAAAUCUGGCUGUCGAGAUGCCUAAAAAGCAUUUCAUAGCAAGGGCCGGGCAAGACCGGUGCCAGCCGCCGCGGUAACACCGGCGGCUCGAGUGGUAACCGUUAUUAUUGGGUCUAAAGGGUCUGUAGCCGGCCGGAUAAGUCUCUUGAGAAAUCUGGCAGCUUAACUGUCAGGCUUUCAGGAGAUACUGUCUGGCUCGAGGCUGGGAGAGGUGAGAGGUACUUCAGGGGUAGGGGUGAAAUCUUGUAAUCCUUGAAGGACCACCAGUGGCGAAGGCGUCUCACCAGAACGGACCUGACGGCAAGGGACGAAAGCUAGGGGCACGAACCGGAUUAGAUACCCGGGUAGUCCUAGCCGUAAACGAUACUCGCUAGGUGUCGGCCACGGUGCGACCGUUGUCGGUGCCGUAGGGAAGCCGUGAAGCGAGCCACCUGGGAAGUACGGCCGCAAGGCUGAAACUUAAAGGAAUUGGC